rnacentral:rRNA from 1 species
UACGUAGGGGGCAAGCGUUGUCCGGAUUUAUUGGGCGUAAAGAGCGUGUAGGCGGCCAAACAGGUCCGUUGUGAAAACUGGAGGCUCAACCUCCAGACGUCGACGGAAACCGUGUGGCUAGAGUCCGGAAGAGGAGAGUGGAAUUCCUGGUGUAGCGGUGAAAUGCGCAGAUAUCAGGAAGAACACCCGUGGCGAAAGCGGCUCUCUGGAACGGUACUGACGCUGAGACGCGAAAGCGUGGGGAGCGAACAGG